CCCGCGGGCGCCGCCGCGCCCCCUCCUGGGCAGCGCUGGGCAGUGGCGGUCUCGCGGCAGAAGUGCCGCCCUCAGGGGAGCGCCCGAAGCGGGAGUCCCCCAAAAACCCCACACGCGAGCGGGAUCCAAACCUCUGCCGGUGCAUUCCGCAGCCCUGCCCGAGGCCCGGCCGGUCCCUGCCCCAGCCAUGCUGGGGCUCAUCCCGCGUGGAUCGCGGCCUCUCUUUCCCCAUCGGCGGCCGCCACGUCGCAGGUGUUGGCGCUCGGGACCCUGAGGUCUGGGUUGGAGCAGCAUCCCCAGCAGAGCGAGCCCAAGGAAGGAUGGUGGCUCAGCUGGAGUUUCUUCCCAUGGUCCUCUUCUGGGUGAAAAACAGGAAUACAGCCUGGAGUUACUUUGAAAGGAUAAAGCAUCCUCCUGUGCAGCCCAGGAGCCUGCUGAGUCACUGCUGCUCUCCCUCUUCCACCUCUUCCACUUUUUUUAACACAGUCACAUCCCUGGCUCACAGGAUGGCAAGGGGAGCAGGUGGCUGAAUUUUCCUUCUGUUCCCUAAUUGAGCUACAGCCUAGAAUGCUUAACAUCAUGUGUAAAUCACAAAUAUCAGCACAGAAUUCCCAGUAACUGCAAUAAGAUAGGGAAGAAGAGAAUCGGGCUUUGCAUGCUCCCUACUGGAAGCUGCUCUGUGCUGUUGCUCUGGGCUGCUGCUGCUGCUGAACACACUUCACUCCAGGGCUGGCUGCAUUUCUGUGAUGAAUGAAGCCACCCUGUGUCCAACCCUGUGUGUUUUGUUUUAAUUCUGCAGAGCUCUUUGGAAUCUUCUAGGAAGAAAGUCACUAUAUAAGUGUGAGAUUGUUGUUUUUAUUUGAACUGGAAAAUUGCCUUUCUGAAAAUAGUAAGUUGUAGAUUAAAUGCCAAACCAGGAUGAGGCAAUACUGCUUUGUACACAGAGAGGAUUAUUAGAAAUAUUUCUUUAGAAUGAUACCCAGAAUGUGAAUUACUCAACUUGCCAGGUUACUUAUGAAACAGAAAAAGUUACAGAAGUGCUUAUGUAACAUUGUUUUUCCAGAAAAAAUAGGUGGUGAUUUUUCUCAGCAGUUCCAUCUGCUAAAUGGACUAACAUCUUGCAAAACCCCCUCACUGCUUUUCCUCCCAGAACUCCUGCAAGGGGACACACACAAAAGAAGAUCUAUGCGUUACAAAGAGCAAUCUCAGAUGGUUUAAGUAGGCAAUCGGAUACAAGAACAAGCUUGGACUAUUUGAUGGGUGAGAAAGGUCAGUUUGUUUUUAGCUUCUCUGCAUAUAAAUCAUCUAUGAAAAAGUUUAUUUUGCAAAUGUCUUGAGCAGUACAAACAAGCAAUACAAAGUUCAGUGAUUUGGGGGUGGGCAGCAAGGUGGCCAAAAAGGUCUCUUGAUGUGCUUCAUCCUUGUCACAGCAGCACUCGGUUCCACCACUCUGACACAAUCCCAAAUUAUUCCCUUUCUGCCAGCACUGAUGUGCAGAGGGUUGGCAUCAAUGCAGAGCAACUCUUGCAG
ensembl:lncRNA